rnacentral:rRNA from 1 species
CCUACGGGUGGCAGCAGUGAGGAAUAUUGGUCAAUGGGCUUACGCCUGAACCAGCCAAGUCGCGUGAGGGAAGACUGCCCUAUGUGUUGUAAACCUCUUUUGUCAGGGAGCAAUUGGCGCUACGUGUAGCGUUAUCGAGAGUACCUGAAGAAAAAGCAUCGGCCAACUCCGUGCAAGCAGCCGCGGUAAUACGGGGGAUGCGAGCGUUAUCCGGUUUUAUUGGUUUAAGGGGUGCGUAGGCGGAAUGCCAAGUCAGCGGUAAAAGCGCGGGGCUCAACCUCGCUCCGCCGUUGAAACUGGCGGUCUUGAGUGGGCGAGAAGUAUGCGGAAUGCGUGGUGUAGCGGUGAAAUGCAUAGAUAUCACGCAGAACUCCGAUUGCGAAGGCAGCAUACCGGCGCCCAACUGACGCUGAAGCACGAAAGCGUGGGUAUCGAACAUGAUUAGAUACCCUAGUAGUC